AACGAACGCUGGCGACAGGCUUAACACAUGCCAGUCGAGCGCCCCGCAAGGGGAGCGGCAGACGGGUGAGUAACGCGUGGGAACGUACCUUUUGGUUCGGAACAACUCCGGGAAACUGGAGCUAAUACCGGAUAAGCCCUAACGGGGAAAGAUUUAUCGCCGAAAGAUCGGCCCGCGUCUGAUUAGCUAGUUGGUGAGGUAACGGCUCACCAAGGCGACGAUCAGUAGCUGGUCUGAGAGGAUGAUCAGCCACACUGGGACUGAGACACGGCCCAGACUCCCACGGGGGGGCGCAGGGGGGAAAAUGGGACAGGGGGCGCAAGCCGGAUCCAGCCAUGCCGGGGGAGUGAUGAAGGCCUUAGGGUUGUAAAGCUCUUUUGUCCGGGAAGAUAAGGGCGGUACCGGAAGAAAAAGCCCCGGCUAACUUCGG
rnacentral:rRNA from 1 species